rnacentral:rRNA from 1 species
UGGGGAAUAUUGCACAAUGGGGGAAACCCUGAUGCAGCGACGCCGCGUGGAGGAAGAAGGUCUUCGGAUUGUAAACUCCUGUUGUUGAGGAAGAUAAUGACGGUACUCAACAAGGAAGUGACGGCUAACUACGUGCCAGCAGCCGCGGUAAAACGUAGGUCACAAGCGUUGUCCGGAAUUACUGGGUGUAAAGGGAGCGCAGGCGGGAGAACAAGUUGGAAGUGAAAUCCAUGGGCUCAACCCAUGAACUGCUUUCAAAACUGUUUUUCUUGAGUAGUGCAGAGGUAGGCGGAAUUCCCGGUGUAGCGGUGGAAUGCGUAGAUAUCGGGAGGAACACCAGUGGCGAAGGCGGCCUACUGGGCACCAACUGACGCUGAGGCUCGAAAGUGUGGGUAGCAAACAGGAUUAGAUACCCUGGUAGUCCACACCGUAAACGAUGAUUACUAGGUGUUGGAGGAUUGACCCCUUCAGUGCCGCAGUUAACACAAUAAGUAAUCCACCUGGGGAGUACGACCGCAAGGUUGAAACUCAAAGGAAUUGACGGGGGCCCGCACAAGCAGUGGAGUAUGUGGUUUAAUUCGACGCAACGCGAAGAACCUUACCAAGUCUUGACAUCCUGCGACGAUGCUAGAAAUAGUAUUUUCCUUCGGGACGCAGAGACAGGUGGUGCAUGGUUGUCGUCAGCUCGUGUCGUGAGAUGUUGGGUUAAGUCCCGCAACGAGCGCAACCCUUAUGGUCAGUUACUACGCAAGAGGACUCUGGCCAGACUGCCGUUGACAAAACGGAGGAAGGUGGGGAUGACGUCAAAUCAUCAUGCCCUUUAUGACUUGGGCUACACACGUACUACAAUGGCGUUAAACAAAGAGAAGCAAGACCGCGAGGUGGAGCAAAACUCAGAAACAACGUCCCAGUUCGGACUGCAGGCUGCAACUCGCCUGCACGAAGUCGGAAUUGCUAGUAAUCGCAGAUCAGCAUGCUGCGGUGAAUACGUUCCC